GCAUGGCCGAAUUCUGUUUUACUCUUUCUGUAGUAAAGACAGUCAGACACCAUGCCAGAUUACUGCGCUCUCUCUCUCUCUCCUUUUGUCUCAGUGGUGCAUCACUGUGUGUUUAUCACUGAUUUGGGGGAAAAGCGAACAAUC